rnacentral:lncRNA from 1 species
CCAAAUACGCUAGGGUUCUUUUUCUUCAAACUUCUCUCUCUAGUCUCUAUCACCAUUGAUACACAGGUGUGCUUGUGCCGGUAAGCUUAAUUUUUGUUAUAUUUCUCUCAUUGCUUCUUUUUUGGUCUCUAUCCUCGCCGAUCUUCUCUUUUUUCUCUUGUUUUAGUAAAUUUUUUCUUUUUUUUCUGCUAAAAAUUAGUAGUUAAAGACUUAAAGGCGCAUGUAUAUUGUUGAAAGAAGUCUUGACUCUUGAAUUUGAUGUCCAUUUUUUGUCUCCUUACUCGGUUAUUGUUUCUGUUUCCUCAUUUAAUUUUGUGCUUGAUUCUGUCUCAUCCUCUAACUUCUUUUUUCGCAUUAUUAUAGCUCAAUGUGUUUAUUGUUCUACUUGUAUUCGUUUUCGUAGAUGGAAGAAAAAUGGAAGUAGGGUAAGUGAAGCCUACGAAGGUGGGGGUUCAAAUGAUAGCAUACCUAACACUGAAUGUCUCAAUCUUGAUGAAGCUCCAAAGAAAAGGAAAGUCAUGCAACCUAGAUCUGAUGCUUGAAACCAUUUUGAGAAGUAUGAUGAUCCUAGUGGAGCUAAAAGAGCAAAAUAUAAGUAUUGUGAAAAAACUUAUGCAGCUGCUACGAAAGGUAACGGUACUACAUCAAUGAACAAUCAUCUCACUAAGUAUCCCAAAAUGCCCCGUAAAAUAGAAAAUAGUCGAACACAACUAAGUUUCCUACUAGCUUCAAAUGGGGCAAAUGAAGGGGUGCUUGCCACUUGGAAAUUUGAUCAAGCACUUAGUAGGAGAGCUUUAGCUCAAAUGAUAAUUUUGGAUGAGCUGCCAUUUAGUUUUGUUGAAAAUGAAGGAUUUAAGAAGUUUAUAGGAGUCACAAUACCUCAAUUUCAAAUUCCUUCUCGUAGAACAUUGACAAGAGAUUGUUAUGAACCUUAUUGUGAACAAAGACAAAGUUUGAAGAAGUCCUUCAAUGAAGCAGGUCCAAAAAUCUGUCUUACAACAGAUACUUGGACUUCUAUACAAAGAAUAAACUAUAUGUGUCUUACUGCUCACUUUAUUGACAACGAUUGGAAAUUGCAUAAAAGGAUAAUAAACUUUUGUCCUAUCUCUAGUUAUAAGGGUGAUGAUAUGGCGGCGAUUAUUACUAAUUGCUUGCUUGAUUGGGGUUUGGAAAAUGUAUUUACUAUAACAGUAGAUAAUGCUAGUUCCAAUGAUGUCACAGUAAGAGAAAUGUCUAAACAAUUGACUACUUGGGGAACUAAUAUAAUGAAUGGUAAACAUCUGCAUGUUAGAUGUAUGGCUCACAUACUUAAUCUCAUUGUACAAGAUGGGUUGAAAGAAAUUGGUGUUUCUAUCAAGAGAGUUAGACAAGCUGUGAGAUACAUUAGACUAUCUCCCGCUAGGAUUAGAAAGUUUAAAGAAUGUUGUGAAUCUCAAAAGUUAACUUCCAAGAGAACAUUAUGCUUAGAUGUUUCUACUCGAUGGAACUCUACAUACAUGAUGUUAGACACAACACAAUAAUUUGAGCUUGCCUUUGACAAAUAUAGUUUCUUUGAUACUGGAUUGUUGCAUCAUCUUCGUACCUAUGUAUGUGAAGAUGGAACUAGUGCUGGUGAUCUCACAAGUGAUGACUGGGAUAAUGUGAGAAUAAUGGUAAAAUUUCUUGAAGCUUUUUAUUUGCUUACUUUGAGGGUCUCUGGUUCUAUUUAUGUCACUUCCAAUGUAUAUUUUGUUGAAAUUUGUGAGCUUGAUCUUAUUUUGAAAGAGUGGAUGGAACAUGAAGAUGCUAGUUUGAAAGAAAUAGCAAAAAAAAUAAAAGAAAAAUUUGUCAAGUAUUGGGGUGAACCUGAAAAAAUGAAUAAUAUGAUCUUUAUUGCAUCAAUUUUGGAUCCCGUAACAAGCUUGACUAUGUUCCUUUUGCAAUUGUGAGGAUGUUUGGAGAAAAAGAAGGGAAGAAAUUGAUUUUAGAAGUGAAAAAUUAUAUGGAUUCUUUGUUUGAUUAUUAUGUAAAGAAAAACUCAAAAGGAUCUAUAUCUGCUUCAUCUGGAAAUACAACAGCUACCAUGAGUGGUUAUGGUAGCUUUUUGAAAAGAGGAACAAUGAGAACGAAAUUGGAAUUUGAGAAACAUAAGGAAGUGACAGGAGGCUUAGGUGCUAAAUCAGAGUUAGAUAGAUAUCUUGCUGAAGAUAUUGAGCCCGGAACGGAUGAGUUUAAAAUCUUAAAGUGGUGAAAAAUCAAUGAGCCUAGAUUUUCCAUUAUUGCGGAGAUGGCUUGUGAUGUGUUAGCCAUUCCUAUUUUAAGUGUUGCAUCAAAAUGUGCAUUCAGUACUGGAGGUCGCAUUCUUGACUCGUUUAGGAGUUCAUUGACGCCUAAACUAGUGCAAUCUCUUAUUUGUCUUCAAGAUUGGCUUAGAAGUGAACCUAUUCCUAUUAAAGUUGAGGAAGACUUGGAGUAUCUAGAACAACUGGAACUUGGUAAUUAUUUUGUAUUUUGCAUUUAUUAUAUUACAAAUAGUUUACUUAACACUGAUGCAUGACAAAGUUGUCUUCAAUAUUUUCCUUAGAUUUGGCAAAUUGUGCAAAAGAUUCAACUAUCAUUGACAUAUAGUUGCAACCUGUGGCAUGUGUGGUAAGUUGAUAACCUUCUGUAUAUUUGAUGAUAUAACAUUGAUAUACUUUAUUAUAAAUCAAUUGUGUUUUUGACUUAUAAUUAUGUCUUUUUUUGCAAAGGUUUGAUCAUGGCGCCUAAAUGGAACUUACGGAUUAUGUAUCAUCUUCAUAAAUGCUUAGAUCAACAAGUAAAUAGACAAGUAGUAAAUAGACAAGUGAUGCUGCAGUAAUAACUUGCUAGUGAGCUCUUUUGGUAGACAAGCUGAUGCUGCAGUAGUACUUAAUGUAGUUAUUUUGUUGAUUUUGAGACUUCAGUAACAUGAAAAUUUUCUAACUUCUCGAUUACUCUUUUGGUUAUGUAAUAUUGCUUGUACUAAACAGUGAUUUCCUA